AAAUGGCAGUGUGCAAGAUGGGGAAAGGAUGGGGUCACACAAAGAAAAAGAGCUAGAGUUGACCUCUUUUCCACUCUGGGAAUGAGAUGUAAGCCAGGAGGCAAGCCUGAGGCUGAGACUCCACCAGGGAUGGCAGAAUCUCCUGAAGGAUUGGAGGUGGUGGCCAGGGCAGAGGCCAAGGUCUUGACAGAGGCCACUGACGAGAGACCUUGGAGUACUCUGUGAUCCAGAU
rnacentral:lncRNA from 1 species